rnacentral:rRNA from 1 species
UACGUAGGUCCCGAGCGUUGUCCGGAUUUAUUGGGCGUAAAGCGAGCGCAGGUGGUUUAUUAAGUCUGGUGUAAAGGGCAGUGGCUCAACCAUUGUAUGCAUUGGAAACUGGUAGACUUGAGUGCAGGAGAGGAGAGUGGAAUUCCAUGUGUAGCGGUGAAAUGCGUAGAUAUAUGGAGGAACACCGGUGGCGAAAGCGGCUCUCUGGCCUGUAACUGACACUGAGGCUCGAAAGCGUGGGGAGCAAACGGG